UUUAAUUAAAUGUUGGAAGAUUCACUUCCCAUUCAAAUAAUUGUGUAUCUAUAUAUCUGCAUAUACACUGUUACGGGCCACACUCUCAAAAAGGAAAAAAAAGGAUCACGACAAAAAUUAAAUAAUUAUUAAUAGAAUUAAUAUACUGAUGAUUAAAAUUAAUUACAUAUAAAAUAAAGUAUUCCAGCCUUAAAAAUAAAUUGGGCCCCCACCACCUUCAUGAAUAUGCAUAAAGCAUUGUUUUUCAGACACAAGCUCACAGUCUUGCCUCUUUCUCCUUCAUCAAAACAGCAACAAAAGAAGAAAAGGAGAAGGGGGCUGUAUUAGGAGAGAUCAAGACAGGAUGGAGAACAAAAAGAAGACAGACUGAUGAAAACUCAACAUAAUAUAUACCUGCAAAAAAUCUCACUAUAAUAUGGAAUGCAAGGAUGCUUCUAGCCUUGUUCAACUAUUAUGAAAUCUUGCAUAAACUUAAGUCAUUCUAAUAAAAGGUGAUAAAUUAUGCUACUUUGAGCAAUGAUAUUGAACGAACAUCUCAAAAAAUAUGCACAUUUUGAAUGAAGGGAUGAAACUUUAUUUCAUGGUUAUUAAAAUACAAUAUUGUGUUGCUACGGAUAAGCAAAUUGCCCACUCAAAGGAAUAUUUUACGACAGGCUCAAAAACUACAAAGAAAUGCAGGAGAAGAGAGUUUAAUUAUCUUGGAAGACUUCAAUGUGGAUGCAAAUUCAGCCUUGUGGAGACCGAAUAUGACUUCCAAAGUAUUCAGUAACAGGUUUAAGCUCCUCCAGGACAUAUUAGCAACAUUAUCUCAUCUGAACAGAUGCAAGGUAUACCUGCCAGAAUCAGUCCUGAUUGGAAAAUGAACGAAGCAAAGCAGUUCCCUUGCCUUAUGGGAAGCAUGGAGGCUUACAUCCAAGUGACAUGGGAUGUUCAUGUUAGAAUUACCACUUCUGUAGUUAAACUAAAUUUAGACCCUGAAGCAUUGCUUUUAUAUGUCUGAAAAGUAGCUCUAGGGAUGACCUGCAAAAGGAAGCUUCACCAGGAAUACUGAUUAAAUAAAUUCAAAAUUUUCCAAACUAGAUUCUAUUUAAAAAAAGAAACCAGAAACAUUUCUGCUUGUGCUGGUGAUGAAGAAAAGCAAUAAAGAAGCAGCCAUCCUUCAAUUUUCAUGUUUUAAGCUUAGGAAGACAGUUUUUAGAUUGGAUGGUUGAAAAAGUAUUCAAUAAAAGAAUGAAACGAUUAUAAUUAUAUUUAAGAGGGAGGAGGAAUCAUUUUGACUGUAGCUGCUAUAAGGAAGGCAGAAAUAUAUACAUAUUUUUAAAAAAAUAUUUAAUGGUAUUGUGGAUGCUCUAUCAGUAGAGGCUUUUAAGAAAAGAUUGUCUGAAAUAGUAUAAGGGUCUCCUGCUUGAGCAGGGGGUUGGAC